rnacentral:piRNA from 1 species
AAGUCAGGCACAGCUAAACAAGU